rnacentral:rRNA from 1 species
AUUGAACGCUGGCGGCAUGCCUUACACAUGCAAGUCGAACGGCAGCACGGGAGCAAUCCUGGUGGCGAGUGGCGAACGGGUGAGUAAUGUAUCGGAACGUGCCCAGUCGUGGGGGAUAACGUAGCGAAAGCUACGCUAAUACCGCAUACGAUCUAUGGAUGAAAGCGGGGGAUCGCAAGACCUCGCGCGAUUGGAGCGGCCGAUAUCGGAUUAGGUAGUUGGUGGGGUAAAGGCUCACCAAGCCGACGAUCUGUAGCUGGUCUGAGAGGACGACCAGCCACACUGGGACUGGGACACGGCCCAGACUCCUACGGGAGGCAGCAGUGGGGAAUUUUGGACAAUGGGCGCAAGCCUGAUCCAGCAAUGCCGCGUGCAGGAUGAAGGCCUUCGGGUUGUAAACUGCUUUUGUACGGAACGAAACGGUGAGCUCUAAUACAGUUUGCUAAUGACGGUACCGUAAGAAUAAGCACCGGCUAACUACGUGCCAGCCGCCGCCGUAA